UGGGGAAUUUUGGACAAUGGGCGAAAGCCUGAUCCAGCAAUGCCGCGUGUGUGAAGAAGGCCUUCGGGUUGUAAAGCACUUUUGUCCGGAAAGAAAUCCUUGGCUCUAAUACAGUCGGGGGAUGACGGUACCGGAAGAAUAAGCACCGGCUAACUACGUGCCAGCAGCCGCGGUAAUACGUAGGGUGCAAGCGUUAAUCGGAAUUACUGGGCGUAAAGCGCGCGCAGGCGGUUUGCUAAGACCGAUGUGAAAUCCCCGGGCUCAACCUGGGAACUGCAUUGGUGACUGGCAGGCUAGAGUAUGGCANGUAGGGUAGAUCCACGUGUAGCAGUGAAAUGCGUAGAGAUGUGGAGGAAUACCGAUGGCGAAGGCAGCCCCCUGGGCCAAUACUGACGCUCAUGCACGAAAGCGUGGGGAGCAAACAGGAUUAGAUACCCUGGUAGUCCACGCCCUAAACGAUGUCAACUAGUUGUUGGGGAUUCAUUUCCUUAGUAACGUAGCUAACGCGUGAAGUUGACCGCCUGGGGAGUACGGUCGCAAGAUUAAAACUUAAAGGAAUUGACGGGGUCAUAGCUGUUCCU
rnacentral:rRNA from 1 species